rnacentral:rRNA from 1 species
GAUGAACGCUGGCGGCGUGCCUAAUACAUGCAAGUCGAGCGAACGGACGAGAAGCUUUCUUCUCUGAUGUUAGCGGCGGACGGGGGAGUAACACGUGGAUAACCUACCUAUAAGACUGGGAUAACUUCGGGAAACCGGAGCUAGUACCGGAUGAUAUUUUGAACCGCAUGGUUCAAAAGUGAAAGACGGUCUUGCUGUCACUUAUAGAUGGAUCCGCGCUGCAUUAGCUAGUUGGUAAGGUAACGGCUUACCAAGGCAACGAUGCAUAGCCGACCUGAGAGGAUGAUCAGCCACACUGGAACUGAGACACGGUCCAGACUCCUACGGGAGGCAGCAGUAGGGAAUAUUGCGCAAUGGGCGCAAGCCUGACGGAGCAACGCCGCGUGAGUGAUGAAGGUCUUCGGAUCGUAAAACUCUGUUAUUGGGGAAGAAAAUAUGUAUAAGUAACUGUGCACAUCCUGACGGUACCUAAUCAGAAAGCCACGGCUAACUACGUG